GAUGAACGCUGGCGGUGUGCCUAAUACAUGCAAGUCGAGCGAACAGACGAGGAGCUUACUCCUCUGACGUUAGCGGCGGACGGGUGAGUAACACGUGGAUAACCUACCUAUAAGACUGGGAUAACUUCGGGAAACCGGAGCUAAUACCGGAUAACAUGUUGAACCGCAUGGUUCAACAGUGAAAGACGGUCUUGCUGUCACUUAUAGAUGGAUCUGCGUCGCAUUAGCUAGUUGGUAAGGUAACGGCUUACCAAGGCAACGAUGCGUAGCCGACCUGAGAGGGUGAUCGGCCACACUGGAACUGAGACACGGUCCAGACUCCUACGGGAGGCAGCAGUAGGGAAUCUUCCGCAAUGGGCGAAAGCCUGACGGAGCAACGCCGCGUGAGUGAAGAAGGUCUUCGGAUCGUAAAACUCUGUUAUUAGGGAAGAACAAAUGUGUAAGUAACUAUGCACGUCUUGACGGUACCUAAUCAGAAAGCAACGGCUAACUACGUG
rnacentral:rRNA from 1 species